UAAUUGGAUCAGAGAUUGCAGUUUUUUUAGGGAAAAUGACCAGAAUGUUGAGCAAGAUUCCAAGUACUUGGAGCGGGAGGAUAUUAAGAGAUUUGAGGAGAGAGUUUACCAGAAUGUUGAGCAAGAUUUCAAGCAAUUAGAGAAUAUAAUAGAUAAUUUGGUUGUGAUCGGCAUUGUAAUCGUUAAUUAAUU